rnacentral:rRNA from 1 species
CCUACGGGAGGCAGCAGUGGGGAAUAUUGCACAAUGGGGGAAACCCUGAUGCAGCGACGCCGCGUGAGCGAGGAAGUAUUUCGGUAUGUAAAGCUCUAUCAGCAGGGACGAAAAAAGACGGUACCUGACUAAGAAGCCCCGGCUAACUACGUGCCAGCAGCCGCGGUAAUACGUAGGGGGCAAGCGUUAUCCGGAUUUACUGGGGGUAAUGGGAGCGUAGGCGGCAAGGCAAGUCAGAAGUGAAAGGGCAGGGGUCAACCCUGUACAUGCUUUUGGAACUGUGGUGCUAGAGUGCAGGAGAGGUAAGUGGAAUUCCUAGUGUAGCGGUGAAAUGCGUAGAUAUUAGGAGGAACACCAGUGGCGAAGGCGGCUUACUGGACUGUAACUGACGUUGAGGCUCGAAAGCGUGGGGAGCAAACAGGAUUAGAUACCCUUGUAGUC